AGGUGCCGGACAUUUGAGAGAAAUCUUUUACAGAAUGGGGUUUUCUGACAAGGAUAUUGUCGCGCUUUCAGGAGGCCACACUCUGGUAUAUUUAUCACCAUUUGAUGGGACAUGAAGUCGAGAUGCAGGUGGUUUGAAAUACUUUGCCUCGUCGAUUUGGCGCUCCAGGUCUUCCAGAGUUGAAUGCAUCUCAGCUACAAUAAUCGGGCAAUUAUGGAGGCUGCUCAAGUACUGCUUUAUUUCGGAGUUGAACAAAUCAUCUAUGUUUCUAAAAU